AUUGAACGCUGGCGGCAGGCCUAACACAUGCAAGUCGAACGGUAACAGGAAGAAGCUUGCUUCUUUGCUGACGAGUGGCGGACGGGUGAGUAAUGUCUGGGAAACUUCCUGAUGGAGGGGGAUAACUACUGGAAACGGUAGCUAAUACCGCAUAACGUCGCAAAACCAAAGAGGGGGACCUUCGGGCCUCUUGCCCUCGGAUGUGCCCAGAUGGGAUUAGCUAGUAGGUGGGGUAACGGCUCACCUAGGCGACGAUCCCUAGCUGGUCUGAGAGGAUGACCAGCCACACUGGAACUGAGACACGGUCCAGACUCCUACGGGAGGCAGCAGUGGGGAAUAUUGCACAAUGGGCGCAAGCCUGAUGCAGCCAUGCCGCGUGUAUGAAGAAGGCCUUCGGGUUGUAAAGUACUUUCAGCGGGGAGGAAGGGAGUAAAGUUAAUACCUUAGCUCAUUGACGUUACCCGCAGAAGAAGCACCGGCUAACUCCGUG
rnacentral:rRNA from 1 species